CGGCGGACGGGUGAGUAAUGCCUAGGAAUCUGCCUGGUAGUGGGGGACAACGUUUCGAAAGGAACGCUAAUACCGCAUACGUCCUACGGGAGAAAGCAGGGGACAUUCGGGCCUUGCGCUAUCAGAUGAGCCUAGGUCGGAUUAGCUAGUUGGUGAGGUAAUGGCUCACCAAGGCGACGAUCCGUAACUGGUCUGAGAGGAUGAUCAGUCAAACUGGAACUGAGACACGGUCCAGACUCCUACGGGAGGCAGCAGUC
rnacentral:rRNA from 1 species